AUUGAACGCUGGCGGCAGGCAUAACACAUGCAAGUCGAACGGUAACAGGGAUCAGCUUGCUGAUUCGCUGACGAGUGGCGGACGGGUGAGUAAUGUCUGGGAAACUGCCUGAUGGAGGGGGAUAACUACUGGAAACGGUAGCUAAUACCGCAUAACGUCGCAAGACCAAAGAGGGGGACCUUCGGGCCUCUUGCCAUCGGAUGUGCCCAGAUGGGAUUAGCUAGUAGGUGGGGUAACGGCUCACCUAGGCGACGAUCCCUAGCUGGUCUGAGAGGAUGACCAGCCACACUGGAACGGAGACACGGUCCAGACUCCUACGGGAGGCAGCAGUGGGGAAUAUUGCACAAUGGGCGCAAGCCUGAUGCAGCCAUGCCGCGUGUAUGAAGAAGGCCUUCGGGUUGUAAAGUACUUUCAGCGGGGAGGAAGGGAGUAAAGUUAAUACCUUUGCUCAUUGACGUUACCCGCAGAAGAAGCACCGGCUAACUCCGUG
rnacentral:rRNA from 1 species